rnacentral:lncRNA from 1 species
UACAAUAGACGUGACCGAGAAUCUGGAACAAUUUAAAGCGUAAAACUGGCCUACCGCCUACCUCCACAGUUACUCAAUAAUUAAAAUUUAAAGUUAAGCCUAUCAUCUACUCGUAUCAAUCCAUUGAACACAUGAUCUGAACAGCUUUACUUGAACUUCUAGUUUGGGGAUGAAUUUGAAAGCAGGAACUACAAAAAUAGAAACUACACUUGAUAAGUAGGUGGCUAGUACUGGGUACAAACCUGCUGCGCCAAUUUCGGAUUUCGGAUCGUGUCAGAUCUUACCGAUUAUUACACCAUGCAUGCCUUUAUCCCAGACCAUACAAUCAUGUUUUACAACGCUGCGUUUCUAGUUACAACAUUUAAAACGAAGAGGCUAGACACAAGCAAAAAACUCAAACCGACACUGUACAAGAGUAGCUAGCUAGUAGCGCUAAAAAACUAAUCAAGCAAACAGAUUGUUAAGUCAUUCGGUAGUGCGAGUAGUUGAUGUUCUGGAACAUUAGUUUUGUUUUGCGUUAUUUGCGUACCAUCGCGAUUUAAUCACGGCUUGCGGCAGUUGUAUUCUUUGCAGAAGGGAAGAAGGAGCCGAGGAGAGCUCGGAACUUGUUGACUCGCUUCCGGUGGCGAAUGCGGCGGAGGACGGCUUCCUUGGUCAGUGUACCCGGUGCAUCAUUGGGAUCGCGCUUCAAAUGCAAUUGACUGCUCACAAUUAUAUUAAGCUCGUCUUCAUCAUCAUCAUUCUUAUCUUCCUCAUUUGAUGGAGGAUUUGUUGAAAUUAUCCGAGACAUGAAUCAGGUAGUGUUAUGUAUGUUUUAUAUAAUUAGUGCAGUGUCCGCAUCAUUAUAUAGAUAAAUAACCUUACUGAAUCUUCGUAUGUGCACACAUUUUUGUUUAACUUUCUAUGUACAUGAUACACGAUGCAGUACUUUGACGUUGUG